rnacentral:rRNA from 1 species
GAUGAACGCUGGCGGCGUGCUUAACACAUGCAGGUCGAACGAUGAAGCCCAGCUUGCUGGGCGGAUUAGUGGCGAACGGGUGAGUAACACGUGAGUAACCUGCCCUUGACUCUGGGAUAAGCCCGGGAAACUGGGUCUAAUACCGGAUAGGAGCGCCUGUCGCAUGACGGGUGCUGGAAAGAUCUUUCGGUCAUGGAUGGACUCGCGGCCUAUCAGCUUGUUGGUGAGGUAACGGCUCACCAAGGCGACGACGGGUAGCCGGCCUGAGAGGGUGACCGGCCACACUGGGACUGAGACACGGCCCAGACCCCUACGGGAGGCAGCAGUGGGGAAUAUUGCACAAUGGGCGAAAGCCUGAUGCAGCGACGCCGCGUGAGGGAUGACGGCCUUCGGGUUGUAAACCUCUUUCAGCAGGGAAGAAGCGAAAGUGACGGUACCUGCAGAAGAAGCACCGGCUAACUACGUG